UGGGGAAUAUUGCACAAUGGGCGCAAGCCUGAUGCAGCCAUGCCGCGUGUAUGAAGAAGGCCUUCGGGUUGUAAAGUACUUUCAGCGGGGAGGAAGGGAGUAAAGUUAAUACCUUUGCUCAUUGACGUUACCCGCAGAAGAAGCACCGGCUAACUCCGUGCCAGCAGCCGCGGUAAUACGGAGGGUGCAAGCGUUAAUCGGAAUUACUGGGCGUAAAGCGCACGCAGGCGGUUUGUUAAGACAGAUGUGAAAUCCCCGGGCUCAACCUGGGAACUGCAUCUGAUACUGGCAAGCUUGAGUCUCGUAGAGGGGGGUAGAAUUCCAGGUGUAGCGGUGAAAUGCGUAGAGAUCUGGAGGAAUACCGGUGGCGAAGGCGGCCCCCUGGACGAAGACUGACGCUCAGGUGCGAAAGCGUGGGGAGCAAACA
rnacentral:rRNA from 1 species